rnacentral:rRNA from 1 species
UGGCGAACGGGUGAGUAACACGUGGGUGAUCUGCCCUGCACUCUGGGAUAAGCCUGGGAAACUGGGUCUAAUACCGGAUAGGACCAUGCUUUAGUGUGUGUGGUGGAAAGUUUUUUCGGUGUAGGAUGAGUCCGCGGCCUAUCAGCUUGUUGGUGGGGUAAUGGCCUACCAAGGCGGCGACGGGUAGCCGGACUGAGAGGUUGGUCGGCCACAUUGGGACUGAGAUACGGCCCAG